CUCUGAUGGGGUUUUGCAAGAAUUUUACUGAGUGUACCUGCGUUUGUGGGUGUUUGCUUUUUUUAGGGUUCUAAACAAGAGAGGGACGACGGUAAUUUAGUAAUUACGGGUUAUUUGGAUUACAAAAAACGACGUCGGUAAUUAAGUAAUUACGAUCAAUCACUAGGAAACCUCUAACAACAGUAGGACCCUUAAAAAGUUC